CCGGGACCAAGCAACCUCCCGGUCAGGCGGCAAUUGCCCAAGUGUUGC
rfam:Croceicoccus naphthovorans strain PQ-2, complete genome.